rnacentral:rRNA from 1 species
UCUGGGACAAGCCCUGGAAACGGGGUCUAAUACCGGAUACCACUCCUGCCCGCAUGGGCGGGGGUUGAAAGCUCCGGCGGUGAAGGAUGAGCCCGCGGCCUAUCAGCUUGUUGGUGGGGUAAUGGCCCACCAAGGCGACGACGGGUAGCCGGCCUGAGAGGGCGACCGGCCACACUGGGACUGAGACACGGCCCAGACUCCUACGGGAGGCAGCAGUGGGGAAUAUUGCACAAUGGGCGAAAGCCUGAUGCAGCGACGCCGCGUGAGGGAUGACGGCCUUCGGGUUGUAAACCUCUUUCAGCAGGGAAGAAGCGAAAGUGACGGUACCUGCAGAAGAAGCGCCGGCUAACUACGUGCCAGCAGCCGCGGUAAUACGUAGGGCGCAAGCGUUGUCCGGAAUUAUUGGGCGUAAAGAGCUCGUAGGCGGCUUGUCACGUCGGAUGUGAAAGCCCGAGGCUUAACCUCGGGUCUGCAUUCGAUACGGGCUAGCUAGAGUGUGGUAGGGGAGAUCGGAAUUCCUGGUGUAGCGGUGAAAUGCGCAGAUAUCAGGAGGAACACCGGUGGCGAAGGCGGAUCUCUGGGCCAUUACUGACGCUGAGGAGCGAAAGCGUGGGGAGCGAACAGGAUUAGAUACCCUGGUAGUCCACGCCGUAAACGUUGGGAACUAGGUGUUGGCGACAUUCCACGUCGUCGGUGCCGCAGCUAACGCAUUAAGUUCCCCGCCUGG